AGUUUGUGCGCGUGUGCUUCAUUUGUCAACAUGUUCCUCUAACACUAUUGAAUAGUGGCACAUUUUGAAUUAUAGAAUUGUUUUAUAUAUACAUAUUUAGUUUGCAACUGCACGUGUUUUCAACCAGAAGCCAUGACUGACGAGGUGGGCUAUUUGAAAGCACAGCUCGAGGAGAAAGAGAAAGACAUAGUCGCUCUGAAGAAUAAACUGGCACAUCUGGAAAAGAGCAAUGCCUCAGUACUGGAGCUGUAUGAAAAAGUGACACCCCUAACGCCGCUUAAAGCCAAAGCAUCCCUCAGCAAUGAGGACAUCAUGAGGUACAGCAGACAGCUCCUUCUGCCCGAGCUCGGUGUACAAGGUCAGCUAAACCUAUCCAAGACCUCAGUGCUGGUGGUGGGCUGCGGGGGACUGGGCUGCCCCCUGGCUCAGUAUCUUGCAGCAGCAGGCAUCGGGCGCCUGGGCCUGCUGGACUAUGACGAGGUGGAGCUUAGCAACCUGCACAGACAGGUGCUUCAUGGGGAGGAGAACCAGGACCAGGCAAAGGCUCUGUCUGCUGCUAAUGCAAUUAAAAGAUUGAACUCUACAGUAGAGUGUAUUCCCUACCACCUGCAGCUCUCGUCGGAGAAUGCCUUGCAACUCAUUCAACAAUAUGACAUUGUUGCCGAUUGUUCAGACAACGUCCCCACGCGGUAUCUGGUGAAUGACGCCUGUGUGCUCAGUGGCAAGCCUCUGGUGUCAGCCAGUGCUCUGAGAAUGGAGGGGCAGCUGACAGUGUAUAACUACCAUGGAGGCCCCUGCUACAGAUGUCUGUACCCGGUCCCCCCACCCUCAGAGACAGUGACCAACUGUUCUGACGGAGGGGUGUUAGGAGUGGUUCCAGGGAUAAUGGGCUGCUUCCAAGCUCUGGAAGUCCUCAAGAUUGCCUCCGGACAAGGCUCUUCCUGCGGCCAACAGCUGGUGAUGUUUGACGCUCAAGAUGCCAGAUUCAGGUCCAUCAAGCUGCGGCCCAAGCAGGCAGGGUGUGCAGUGUGUGGAGAGAACCCCAGUGUGACGCGGCUGGUGGACUAUGAGGCAUUCUGUGGCUCUGCUGCCACUGAUAAGUGCCGCAAACUCAACCUUCUUUCCAGAGAUCAGAGGAUCACAGUACAGGAUUAUAAAUCGAUAAUGGACACUGCAGAGCCCCAUCUCUUGUUGGACGUGCGCCCUCUUGUGGAGGUGGAUAUAUGCCACUUACCUACCUCCCUCACCAGACAUUCCCCUCUCAAGUUUAGAGUACAGGAAGAGUGAACAUAUCCAGUUACUGCAGGAGAGUAUCAGCCAAUUAAAGCAGCAGAUGGAAGGUGACUGCAGGCCUCCAGUGUAUGUAAUCUGCAAGAUGGGCAACGACUCCCAGAAGGCGGUGCAAGUCAUGGAGAAGAUGAGUGGAUCCGAAGUGGACAGUAUUACAGUGAAAGACAUCAGUGGAGGCCUCAUGGCUUGGGCGAAGAGAAUUGACCCCACAUUUCCACAGUACUAAUUCAUCAAUUUAAAAGUCAAUAAACUGAAUUAUGUUUUUCGUCAUUGUUGAUUUUAUUUGUAUGAGAACUGAACAUCAUGCUUACCACUAAAUUGACUAAUGUCAUCAAUGAAUGUAAUGUUAUUAAUGUCCUGUACCAAGAAACAAUGGAGCAGUUCCUAAAAAGUGUUGUGUAGUGUAGUUCAGUUCAUCGAAAAACACAAGCUGGCAGUUAGAUAACACGUAAGCAUACUUGCAAAAUCAGGUCCCUCUUGCUGUUUUUCUUUGAAGUAGUAAUAGUUAAUUAACCUAUUACCCAAUAAAUAAAACCUGCACUUUUCACGCUAGUGUCCUGAAGCAGACGCAAUAACCUACUUAACAUCCCUUUACAUUUAUUGAGAGAUUGAGAGACAACACUGCUUCUUUUUUUUGUUUUUAGCUUAAAGAAAGCUGAAAUAAAUCCAUAUUUCUGGGGACAUAAAGGACCCCCUUAACGGGCCUUUGAGGACUCCUGGCUGGACCCCACUUUGGAAAUCAGCACUACAAACUGACCCGGGUCGUGUAAAAAAAAGUGUUUUCUUGACAUGGCCAAGUUGAAAUAACGGAAAAGAAAGGCACAUGCGCAUUGGCUUGAGCUCCAUCGGAGGCGCCAUUGCUUCACAGGGACUGUAGUUCAAGUUUUCCUCCCAACACAUGGAAAGUCAGUUAUGCGGAGAUAAUAAAAAGACUCCAAGCCCCAGCCACGGUGGCCGCUCUUUUCUCGUCAGGCAGGGGGAGUAGACACAGCUGGAAGGAUAAUAAGAUGCGUAUGAAUUUACAAUCUGGAAUAAAAGAUAAGAGAAACUAAA